UUGAGCCUAUCCAAGCUUGAUAAAGGGCAGACGGACCUGGAUUUGCCAACAUCGAAAGCAAUCAUACUUGGUUUGGAAAUCUCUGCGCUUGCUAUGUUAUAUCAAUAUCAGUUGUCGAUUCACUGAUAUUAGCAACUUUCAGAUCAUGUAGUUAUUAUCCUUCAAGGUUGAAUCAGAUAGAUUCAUAUCUGAAAGAGAUUGACAAUAAUUUCUUUCAAAAUUGACUAUUUGCCCCUCUGUUAGAGGUGUUCCAGAAAUGUUUGUGAUCGAGUAAAUAGCUCUACGAACGAAUAGAUCGGAUCAACGGGUCGAGUUUGACCAUCAUAGCCACGAAUGCCUCCUCUCAUGAUCAUGAUGAACAACUUAAAUGCCGGUCAAUGUUGAUCAUCGUGAUCACAUGGUUGGGAUCGUGAUCUCGAGGUACUAUUCACCUGACUAAAAAAUACCAAUAUAGUUCAACCAUAAAGUAAAAAUUCAAAUUUUGUCUAUCUCUUUCAAUUUUUGUGGUCCACAGAAUAACAUUUAUUUGCAUUUUAAUAAUAUUACUUGACGUAUCAAUUCGUGUAUGAUACAUAAUUACUAAUAUAUAUUUUCUACAUAUGGAAAAUAAAAUUUUAGUGAUUCGCUCUCAAUGGAUAAAACUAAUUCAAUUUGAACAAAUAAUCCAGUAGAAUUAAACCAAAAUAAGUUAAAUUUUGUCUUAUCACAUUAAUUUUAGUGGUCUAUAGAAUAAUAAUUAUUUUUAAAAUUUAAUCAAAUAUUAUCCAACACCUUAAUUGGUGUAUGGUAUAUUAUUCCUAAUAUAUAUCUUCAAUAUAUGAUAAAUAAGACUAAAAAAAAUAAAUAUUUAGCUGUCCACAAGUGAAAACAAACUCUAUAUGAACAAAUAAUGCAAUAUAAUUCAAUUAUAAAAAUUCAAAUUUCAAUUUUUCAGAUUUUUUAUCAAUUAUUAUCUAACACCUUUAUUUGUAUGUGGUACAUGAGUCCAAUUAUAUAUCUUCAAUAUAUGUGGUAAAUAAGAUUAAAAAAACAAAAAAUUAGUGGUCCACUCUCAAACACGUGAACACAAAUCCUACAUGCGCAAAUAAUUUAAUAUAAUUCAUUCAUAGAAAUUCCAAUUUCAUUUAUCAUUUUUGAUUUUAGUGGUCCAUUCUAUAAAAAAUAUGUUAAGUGUGUCAAUCUUAUUAAACAAUAAUCCUUAGACAAUUAUAUCUAUUUCACUUAGUGAUACCCUAUUUCAAAGAUUUCAGAACUUUCUUCGCGAAUAGAUUAUUUGUUUAUUUGAAUUGCAUGAUGGGUGUUUGUAGUAGUAGAAGAAAUUUCCAAUAUAGUUGUAAAAAAUUUAGUUUGAUAGGAACCUCCUCUUCAUCUAAAUGUUGUGCACUUCAUUUCUUUUACUCUCUGUUUCAAAAAGAAUGACCUAGUUAGCUAGUUUGACUAGGCACGGAGUUUAAGAAAUUAAAGAAGAUUUUUAAUCUUGUAGUCCUAAAUUAAAGUUAUGUCAAAUGUAUAAAAAUAUUUUUUAAUCUUGUGAUCUUAAACAUGUCAUGUGGAAAGGUGAAUCAAAAGUAUUGCCAAAAAAAGGAAAGGGUCAUUCUUUUUUAAAUAGAUUAAAAAGGAAGGUAGGUCAUUCGUUUUUUGAACCGAGGUAGUAGUUACUUACCAUGAGGAUUAACGUAUUGGUGUCAGAAAACUUUCUUUAAUAUACAAAUCCUUAUUGCUUUAAUAUUCUCUUUGAUAAUGGGAAGAAAUUCUCCUACACAAGGUUUAAUCAAAGUUACAUGACACAAAUCCUUGGAUUUCUAUACAUGGUAAAAUGACCAAGGUUGAAGGUCUUCAUAGCUGGGUGAGUUAUGGUUUCUUUGCUGUUUCCUUUCAGCUUCCAACAUGAUGGAAGUUGGUUAGCAGAUUUGAUCCCACAGAGACAAAAAAAUUAGGUGAUUUCUUCUGAUUUGUCCUUGCCUUGGUGGACAGAGUUACCUGAUACUAUUGCUGGUGAGCGGUAGGAGGUAGAAGAUAUCUUGUCGAAUGAGUCAAGGAGCACAAAAUCUGGUUAUCUGGUUAGCAUCCAGCCUAUUAUAUUUGCAAAGCAAUCACCUGCUCAUAUGGCGCCACCCUUGUGCUUCAAAACAGAAAUUACAGUAAUUUUUUUGGACAAGAACUGCAAUAUAGAAACUAUUCAAGAUUGUUUGCUGGUAUAGGUGACUAUUCAAUUCUAUCAAAGAAGAUAGCCACUGUGAUGCCACAAGUAGGGUCUGAAGAGGGCGAGGUGUAUGCAUAUCUUACCCCUACUCUUCUGUGUGGCAGAGAAGUUGUUUCCGAUAAAUAUUCUAUCAGGUAACACUGAACAUGAUUAAAGUGGCAUCAGUCUGUAAGAAUGAUAUUUCAUUCAAUUUCGGAUGUUUGUUCUCGUUAUAUGUUACAUAUUAUAGUGUACAGAUUGUUAUCCGAUAAUGAAAUUAUGCUUUAGUAUAUAUUGAUUUUAAUGCUUCAUGGUUUACAAUUCAUACACCGAAAUUCAUUGCCCAUGGAUAAAUAAAAACCGUUUCAACAUCAAAAACAAUAAAAAGUAAAGCAAACAGAUAGUAACGCAUUCAAAAUAGGGACCAUAUAUCGCCCAUUGAUUCUAUACCUGAUUCAUAAGUAGAAAGAUUUUCUGGUGCUUUGCUAGGGGCUAACACUCACGAAAUGAAAAAUGUCAAAAUAUGAACAAGGAUGGAUAUUAUUAGAAAUGCAAAAAAAGAAAAAAAGUAUUUGUAAAGCAAGGAAGAACUACAUCACAUCACUAAUAAUCUUACCAUUUUUAUUACUGCCAUGUGACCAUGAGGUCACGAGUUCAAGCGUUGGAAAGGUAAGGGUGAGUACAAUGCACACCUGUGGUAGGGCUCUUCCCCUAAUGUUGUGCAUAGCCGGAGUUUUAGUACACUGGGAUGACCUUUUAUCUACAUAAUAUUUAACCAAAUAUUAUCUAACACUUAAUUGUUUUAUGGUUCAUAAUUCCUAAUAUAUAUCUCCAAUAUAUAGUAAAUAAGACUAAAAAAAAUUAAACUUUCAGUUAUCCACAAAUGAAAACAAACCCUAUAUGAACAAAUAAUCCAAUAUAAUUCAAUUAUAAAAAUUUGUAUUUCAUUUUUUUAAAUUUUAAUCAAAUAUUAGUGGUCCACUCUCAACACGUGAACACAAAUCCUAUAUAUGUACAAAUAAUCUAAUCUAAUUCAACCAUAAAAAUUUAAAUUUCAUUUAUCAUUUCCAAUUUUAGUGGUCCAUUCAAUGGAAAAUAUGUUAAACAUGUCAGUAUUAUUGAACAAUAAUCCAUAGAAAAUUAUAUCUAUUUCACUUAAAGAUACCCUAUUUUAAUUUAUUUUUUUAAAUAAUUGUCACGAUCCGAACCGAGGCCCUGGUCGCGAUGGACAUCACAAACCGUGAAGGCCCAAGAACCCUUCUCUAACUAGUAAUCAUAUAAACAAUUCAUAUACUAUAAAGAAAAUGCGGAAAAACAUGACAAGGCGGAACAUGUUCAUUCUUUUGUUUCAACUGAACAAUACAAAAAUGGGUUCAUGAAACAUUCAAAAACACCUGGCACUAGUGUGUGAAAUCUCUAACUACUCAAAAACACUAUAGUCUAUAUAUUGGGACAAGGCCCCCUAUCGGACCAUAAACAAAAAUAAAAUUAUCAAUGUCAAAUCAACAAGGCCUUUCGAAAUAAGGGAGGCUCACCAACUACAAACUUCGGACAACCCAAUCUACUGCUUGGCUGGACCCUAGGACUGUGUCUCAGAUCCUGAAAUAUAGAGGGUCAACAAGAUGUACCGGUACGCAGAGAAACCCAAGAUAAUACAUUUAUAUAUACAAAAUAAGUGAGAGCGAUUCAUAAAACCUUUUACGUAUAAUAUAUAAAAACACAUGGGCAUACUUUAAAGACUUUGAAACACUUAGAAAUACUUCUUUGAAACCAUGGCUCACUCUUUAUCUUACUUCUGAGCUAGGUGGUACACCCCAUAUAUCUGAAAGUACCCCAUGGGCUACAUGGGAUCCAGCUUUAACUCGGCGGCCAAGUCUCCAACCUAAUUUUGCCGCAAGGGUUGGAAUAUCCAAAUCUGAUAUGCCACAGGACAAUGGACCAGCGUAUAAUCCCUCUUUGGGAAAAUAAUAAACCCGUAUAAAAAACAUAAUUUCGGGCAAUGAAUCAUAUGACUCAUGCCUUCUUUGGGUAACCACCUAACUCUCUUAGGACCCAUUUUUAACCUUUUCUAAACAUGCAUCCUUUUGAAUUCAAAUUCUGAAAAUCUGAGAUGAAAUCUAUAUUUUGUUUUGAGUUUAUCAUGGCCUUAUCUAAUUUGGAAUCGUCAUACCAAGACUUGAAAGUCGUAUGUCUAAGCCAUAUAAUAAUAUGCAUUAGUUCCUUCAAUCCAAUCGAUCCAGUUGACCAACAUAAACAUUUAACAAUGCAAGAGAGUUCUUAUUUUCAAAAAAUAUUUCAAACUAUGCAGGGAUUCUCUCUUUUCAACAUUUCAACAAACAUAUAGUGGUCAAGUACUUUGUAACAAACCAGGCGAUUUCUUUGAAUCACCACUUUUCAUAUAUAUUAACAAGAACCACCCUCUCUUCAGUUUAUAUCCAAAAUCAAGGCUUAAACAAUAGUAAAGACAUUUGAAUCAUGCUUCUCAAUAUGCAAUUGAAUAAUCAUAACAUAUGAAACAAGAGGCUUGACAACAAGAGAGGGAUUUUAAUUGUUCAUUCUCUUAAUUCAACAUUAGAACUCAAAAAUGCAUACAUACUUAUAUACAAGUAAAAAUCUAAUUUAUAGGAAGGCCUCAAGACCAAAACUUUAUCAUAGAAAGGAUUUCACAAUGCAUAAUCGUAAAUGAAAAUUCAAAAUCCAUUGCAAAUUCAUAAUUUCUCAACAUUUAAACAUUAUCAAAACGAUUUUACCAUACCCAUGUAUUUUAGAAAGAUUUCACGUACCUUAGAUUACUUAGUUUUAAGAGUAGAACUCGAAUCUUAAUUUGUUCCUUGGAAAUCUUGGACUUAAGGAUUGAUUUUUCUUGAUUUUUUGUUCUUAGAGGAAACCCUAGUUUGAUCAAGUAUUGGAGAGUGAAGAAGAAUUUUGAUGUUGUAUAACUAAUAAUGAUUGAUCAAUAACAUUUAGAGUUUAACUAAAUUCAUGGGAAAGGUUUUUGGAGUGAUAAAAAGAUCAAAAUAUACCUAAGAAAACCAAAAAAGAUGCAAAACUUCAUCAGUUGACGACCAAGGUUGAUGGGCCAUCACUCAAGUGGCAGGCCAUCACCUAGGUCGUCACUUAGGUCAUCACUUUUGAGAUGGAUUUUACCACUUACUGCCCUAGGAUGAUGGCUGGGGAUGAGGGGCCGUCACCUAGUUGAUAGGUCGUCAGCCUCGUCGUCACAUUUUGGCAGACAGACACUUCAAACUAAAAUGAGCAUAACUUUCUACUCCAAUAUCGGAUUAAGGUGAAACCGGUUGCAUUGGAAAGAAGACUUAAAAAACUUUUAUUUGGUAUAUAAUAGGCCAUAUAACUCCCAAUAUAAAAUAAGUUAUAGUAGAUGGAAUUUCACCCAAGUUUAGACGUUCAUCAAAACUUAAUGGAUAGAAGAGUUUUCAACUCGUCUUUGAGUUUGGGAAUUUUUGUGACCGUAAUUCUUAUUCAAAGGUAUUCACAUCGGAUUGAUCAUUACACAUAUAUUAACAAAGAACCAUUCGGUUUGGGUCUAUACACAUAGAAAGGAAGGUUUAAACUUUAGCUCGAAAGUGCAGGGUGUUAUAUUAUCUCCCCCUUGGGAUUAUUCGUCCCUGAAUAAUGGGUAGGGACUUUUUGAAGCUCUAAAUGUGUAGAAUAAAGAGCGUAACAUCGUAUUGAACAUUUUUCCUCAACAAAAUAUGUGAAGGCAACCAACGAGCUUCAUGAUACCCCUUAGGGAAAUGUGUUAGCAUGAAACAUCAGAUAACGAAACUUGACUUCGACAUGAUCUUCGCAUGUGUUUUAUGGAACAUGAUCAAAACAUUGUAAUACAAGAAUUUUCUGAAGAACCCUCGGCCUGAUUAAGAUUGGUACAAGACAUAAGAUGAGAUUCUCAUGGGACAUAAAAAUAGAAACAUUCUCCACCUUACAAGAUAUAACGAAAAGACUUAAACUUAGAGACACUACUUGUCUAUGCCCCAAAUAAUAAAUUACAUGCCUCAUCAUUUCCAACUUACAAUUCUCCCAAUACUCUUCUAACCACACGAGUUUGAGUCCUACUACAUAGUAAUUUUAUGUUGAAGCCUAAUUCAGAGGAAAGAGGUUCUAGCUUUAGCUAUGGGACCCUAUACUCUAUACCCUAUUAAGAGAAUUAAUUCACCUUUUCACCACCAUCAACCACACUCGAGUUUUAAAUCAAGGAGCACCAACCACAUAACCCAUUAUUUGCAUUUUCAUCAAUCACAACAUUCAAGCCUAUCAUUACUGCACCCACUUCAUAGACCUCCCCACUAAGACCAACCAAUUCAAUCAUUCUCACUAAGGUUUUCGCCACAUAACUCCUUAACUAUCUCUCGUAACGAAAGUUCAUCUCUUUUUUCCCCUUUUCUUAUAGCCUUAUCUCAUGAAACCACAUAAAAAAUUUCACCUUCAAGAACAUCUACCCCCUUGCCUAACUGUAAUGCCCCGAGUCUGGUAUCCCGGAUGCUACACAUUGCUGAUAAUCCCAAAGGACCACUAGCUAGCCCAUAAAUAGUAGCUUUUGUAAGUACUGCAUAAUAGUAAUAUUGCAAUAAACAAUAUUACUAAUACAAAUGAGGAAAUCUAGUGGAAAUUUGCCAUAAGGUUUAAUCUGAAUAAUACUGAAUAAAACGAUGUCUGAACAAGGUAUAAUAAUACCAAAAUAAAAAACAACUAUCUAAAACACUCUAGUCUGAAAGCCUCUAAAACUAUCUAAACUGUGCAGCUAAUGGGACAUGUCCCCAACUAACUCCAUCUACUAAAACUAAACUAAAAUAAUGAAAUAAUGAAACAAUAAUAUUAUCCUCGAAUGAUGAGGACUCAAUACUAGUCUACUGUUGAGAAUCUAAACUGUUAAGGGAGCUCUGGAGCUCAUACAUCUGAACCUAUGGUAUAAAACACCAUAGCGCAAAAAAAAAAUAUGUGUCAGUACGUAUGAAUAUACUGGUAUGCAAAGUGGGGUAGGCUGUAUGCAUGGGUUCAUGUGCAUGAACUAUAACUGACUGAAUAACAUAAAUAGGACUGCGUGAGGAUACAUACAUGAAUACAUACUAUAACUGAAAACAUGAGGAUUCUUAAUACUGAGUUUAAUGAUAACAUGGAUUACUGAUAACUGAUGUAACUGAUGUCUGAUAUACUGAUAACUGAAUGAAUGUUACUAAUAGUACUAAUUCUGAUGGAACUAGCAGAGUUUUGUACUGAGCUGAAUGACUGUAUUUGACAGUCCUGAAAUCUAUAGAACUACCUGAGCUCUUUACUGAAGACUGAGAUUGAGACUGAGACUGUGGGAAGUAAUCAUCUAACCUACAUGCCACUUUUCUAUAUUGAUUUGGGGUCCAACCUGUAACCCUAGUUGGAAGGAUGUCAGUACCGCACCACUGAUAAGAUACUAAAGAUAUACCCUCAUCUGGCAAGUUCUCGAAUGAGAAUGGUGGGACCCUCAACUGACAAGUUAAGCCAUCUCAUCAAUCCUCAUCUGAUAGGUUUUGAUGUCUCAACCUAUGCUGGCCACAUAGUUUUAGAAUGCAAGGAUUUCUUCGAAGAAUCACACCCUCUGCUGGAAGGUGAGUUUCCAUCCUUGGGUUCACUCAGUGUGAAUCCACUCCUAUCUAAAUAGACAUUGAACUGAGUAUACUGGACUGAACUGGACUGAGUUCCUUUAACUGAUGGAAAACUACUGAAUUCUAUUAACUAAAUGAGUUACUGAGGACUGAACUGAAUACGACUAAGCUUUUUGAGUUCUGAGAUUGACUGAAUUCUACUGAUCAAGGCUUAGCUGAGAUUAUCUUGAAAUCUGACAAUGGAUCUAGGUAUAUAGCUAAAUUGUCGAGUAUCAAGUACUCCAAGGACUCGAUAGCAUAGAUAUAAAUAGGACAUGACACUUUUUGAACACAUGACUAUAGUCAACAAUUCAUAAUACAAUCAUUGAGGGAUUUCAUGAAGCACUUGAUAAUCAUAAUCCUGUACAUGAAUAGGAUUACAUUCUAUCCUAUCAUGAUUUCACAAAUCUAAUCUCAUGAGCAUUCCAUCAAACCACUACAAGUCAUAGCAUUAGCAUGGGAAUCAAUUUGAACAUGAGAAUAUAGCAUGGAUUCACAUUUAGAUCACAAUUUGAAUCAUAAUGCACAAUUUUGCUCACUUAGAAAUUUUAUCAAACACAUAGGAUGCAUAACUUUAGGCUUAGGCAUGAACAUUAAACCAAUGCAUCAUUAUUUGCAUUAAUCAAUUCAAACUCAUAGAUUUCAACCCAUAUGCUAACAUAAUUUCAUAAAAUACAUCAUAGAUUCUAACUUGGAAACCAUACAACAACAUUAACAUGGAUUUAAUUCAACCCACAACAUGAAAAUCAUGAUUUAACUUUUAAAAAGAAGAUUCUUGAACUCCAAGGGUGGAAGGGACCCUUGGAUGAACACAUCACAUACCUUUGUUGGAGAAUUCUUGAAAUUUAAUGGAGGAAAUCUUGAGUUCUUGAUUUAAAAUUAUCACCUAGGGUUUUCUUGUUCUUGAGCAAUUGUGAAAUAAUGAAUUUAAUUAGCCAAAAGAGGGCUAAAUUUCAUGUUAUGAGAGCUAAAGAUCAGGGAAAAAAGAUCUAUUUACCUUUAAGGACACGGGUUUACAAGAUAGAAAAAUAUGCCCAGCGAUGCUAUAGCCGACGUGGCGCGUUGAGGGUACCAACAUGAUAACCGAUGCAAUGCAUCAACAUUGUGUCGGUUCACUAGAAAUUUCCUUGAGCUGAGGAAAAUUCCAUCUGUUGAUGCGAUUGACGAUGCGGCGUGCCAACAUCAUAUCGACUCACUAUUUUGGUCAAUUGAACAUGACUUAAAUGUGGUCUAAAAAAUUCAAAACUUGUUGAACCCCUAUUGACAUUCCUGAUCAUGAAUUAACUUACAUAUCAACUAACGGAGGUUGAGAAGGUCAUGAAAUAAAUCCUUGAUGUUCAAAUGCUUAAAAUGAGACUAAGUCCUUUGACACUUAUCUAAAAUUUUCUAAGUGUUGGAUCCCUCAUCAAACUUUAAGGGGCUAAAUUAGACUUAGGAUUUUCGUGGGAUCUUACAAUAUCUCCCCCUUGGAAAUAUUCAUUAUUGAAUAAGACUGACUGAGUAGGGAGAAGUGAUAAACUAAAGUACAUACUGGACAUGCACAACUACAACAUGAUUUUAUGAAUGACAUGACUGAUAAGCUAAAUUUAUCAUGUUGAACAUGCAUAUCUGAUGCAUCAGUAAUUGACUCAUGAAUGCAUGACUGGGAUUUCUGAUAAGCUGAGUUUCUCAUGAUGAAAAUGCAUAUUUGAUGUAUAAAUAUGUGACUGAACUGACACAUGAACAUAUGACUGAAUAUGCAAUGGUAAUUGAUACCAAAUCUAUAAUAACAAUCUUAAUAUUGAAUUGAGUAAGCUUAAAGAAAGCUAUUACCUUGGGAUGAGUCUGAGUUUUUGGAGAAGAGGUGAGGAUACUUGGUCUACAUAUCUGCUUCUGCUUCCCAAGUACCUCCCUCAACGGACUGAUUCCGCCAAAGAACUUUGAAUAGAGGGACUUUUUUGUUCCUCAAUCUGUGAGUUUGAUAGUCAAGGAUUUCGAUUGGGAUCUCUUCAAAAGAGAGGUUUUUUUGAAUAUUUAUGCCCUUUAUAGGGACAACGAUUGCUCGGUCAACGAUUGCUAGAUCUGAAGGUAACUCGAGCUCAUAAGUUAACUUUUUGAAGAAUUUGAGAAUUUUGAAGGGACCGACAUAUCGGGACUGAGCUUUCCCUUCUUUCCAAACCUCUCACUCCCUUCAUGGGAGAGAUUUUCAAGUACAUAUAAUCACUAAUCUCAAACUCAAGAUCCUUUCUACGUAUAUCUAUGUACGAUUUCUUUUAGCUCUAAGCUGUCUUGAGCGUCUCUCUAAUCAACUGAACUUUAUCUAAGGUAUAAAAUACUAAAUCAGGCCCAACAACUACAACAUCAUCGACUUUGAACCAACCGAUUGGAGAUCUGCAUCUCCUACCGUAAAGAGCUUCAAAUGGAGCCAUCUGAAUACUGGAAUAAUUGUUCUUGUUGUAUGCAAACUCAACAAAGGUAAGUGAUCAUCCGAACUACCUUUAAAGUCAAUUGUACAUGCCCUUAGAAUAUCUUCUAAGGUCUGAAUUGUUCUUUCUUCUUGACUAUCUGUCUGAGGAUGAAAGGUUGUACUGAGUGAACUCGGGUGCCAAGAAUCUUUUGGAAUGUUUUCCAGAAAUGAGAGGUAAACUAGGUACCACAAUCUGAGAUAAUGGAUAACGGAACACCGUGCAAUCUAACCAACUUCCUGAUAUAGAGUUUGGCGUAAUCCUAGGCUGAAUAAGAGGUAUGAACUGGAAGAAAGUGAGUUGAUUUGGUCAUCCUGUCUACAAUGACCCAAACUAAAUCAUGCUGAUGACGAGUGUGAGACAAACCCAUCACAAACUCCAUGUUCAAUUCUUCCCAUUUCUAAGUGGGAAUAUUAAACUCCUGCAUGGACCCACUUGGAUUUUGAUAAUCAAUCUUACCCUUCUGAUAUGUUGAGUACUUAGCCAUACACUCUACAAUAUCUCUCUUCAUCCCACUCCACUAAUAGAUCUCCCAUAAAUUGAGAUAUAUCUUUUUGGCCCCUAGAUGAAUAGAGUAACGCGUAUCAUGCACUUCUGCAAGAAUUCAUUGCCUCAAGUCAUCUACACGUGGUACACACAGACAACCCUGACAAUAGAGAACACCAUCUACCCCUUAGGAGAAAACCUCAACCUUCUGGUCUCUAACUGACUCUUUUAACUUGACUAAACUGGGAUCUCUAUCUUGUUUUUCCUUUACCUUGAAAACAAGAGAUAAUUCUGAACUGUUCUGCACCCACAUAUUACCUUCUAUUGAAUCGAAUAAGCGGAUAACUAGUCGGGCAAGUUGAAUUACUUCUUGAACUAACUUCUACUUACCAUCUUUAAUAUUAGCAACACUACCUAUAGAUGGUCUACUGAGAGCAUCAGCCACUAUAUUGGCCUUGCCUGGAUGAUAAAGGACGCUCAUGUCGUAAUCUUUCAAGAGUUCUAACAACCUUCUCUUUCUGAGGUUAAGAUAUUUCUGAGCAAACAUAUAAUGGAGGCUCUUAUGAUCUGUGAACACAUCUUCAUGCACCCCAUACAAGUAGUGCCUCUAAAUCGUUAAGGCAAAACACUACUGUUACUAACUUAAGAUCAUGAGUGGGAUAGUUCUUCUUUGGGUUUUAAGUUGUCUGGAGGCGUAGGCUAUGACCUUACCAUUCUGCAUGAGGACACAACCCAUAUGACCUUACCAUUCUGCAUGAGGACACAACCCAAAUCUACUCUGGAUGCAUCACUGUACACGACAUACUCAUCUGGAGCAUCUGGUAGAGUCAAAACUGGAGCUGAGGUGAGUCGAGUCCUCAACUCCUGAAAAAUCUUCUCGCAUGAAUCUAACCACUAAAACUUGACUUUAUUCUGGGUCAAUCUGGACAUAAGGGAUGUAAUUGACAAAAACCCUUCAACAAAAAACUGACAGUAAUAGCCAGCUAAAACGAAGAAACUUCUGAUAUCUGAUGAAGAGAUGGCUUUUCGGGCCAGUUUCUCACUACUUCAGUCUUUUGAGAAUCAACUCUAAUGCUAUCACUGGAAAUGAUAUGACCAAGGAAUGCUACUGACCUUAGCCAAAAAUCAAAAUUACUAAAUUUGGCAAAUAGUUGUGAUUUCUGAGAGUUUGAAAUACUAUUCUGAGAUGGUCUGCGUGAUCAUGCUCACUGUAGGAAUAGAAAAGAAUGUCGUCGAUAAAUACUAUAACGAACAUGUCCAAGUACUGCUUGAACACAUGGUUCAUCAAGUUUAUGAAAGCUUUUGGGGAAUUGGUAAGACCAAAGGACAUAACUAAGAAUUCAAAGAAACCAUACCAAGUUUGAAAAGCUAUUUUCAAAAUUUCACAUUCUUUGACUCUGAGCUGAUAAUAGCCUGAUCUGAGGUCUAUCUUAGAGAAGUAACUGGCACUCUGAAGUUGGUCAAACAAGUCAUCAAUUCUGGGAAGUGGAUACUUAUUUUUUAUCAUGACUUUAUUUAACUGACGAUAAUCUAUACAUAUUCUGAGAGAACCAUAUUUCUUAUGCAGAAAUAGAACUGGUGCACCCCACGGGGACACAAUGUCCUGAUGAAUCCCUUAUCUAGGAGAUCCUUCAACUAUUAUUUUAAUACUAUGAGUUCUGUUGGUGCCAUUCUAUAUGGCAGAAUAGUUAUGGGCUGAGUAUCUAGAAGGAGGUCAAUGCCAAAGUUUAUUUCCCUUUCGAGAGGAAUUCCUGGAAGAUCUUCAGGAAAGGCAUCUAAGUAUUUAUUCACUACUGGGACUUAUUCAACACUUGGAGUUUCGGAACGAGAGUCCUUAAAUUGAACAAGAUAAUAGACACAUCCCUUAGAUAUCAUUUUUCUUGCCCUUAGGUAGGAAACAAGUUGACCCUUGAAUGCUGAAGUACUAUCCCUCUACUCAGGGACGGGUUCAUUUAAAAACUGAAACUGGAAAAUUUUGUUUCUGCAGUCGAAUGUGGAAUAGCAGAAAUGAAGCCAAUCUAUACUGAGAAUAACAUCAAAAUCAGUCAUCUCUAAUUUGACUAAAUCUGCUAAAGUGACUUUCUGAGAUAUGAUAACAGGAUAGUUCAGUAUACCCGCUAGGCUAGCUCUCUUAUUCUGCUUCUCACUCUCCAUAUUCUUAUGCUCUUCUAUUUGUUAAGCAUGGAUCAUAAGCCUAGACAAUUCCAUCUCAUUAAUCAAUAUUAUAGUCCUGCACUCUUUGACCACACUAUCAUUUACCCUAGACAAAAACUUACUUAUUCAGAAUCUGCUAUCUACCACCACUUGAGGAGCAUAUCUAGGUAGUGGAGUAAACUUGAGAGAAUACUCUUUCACUGUCAUGUUGCCCUGCCUGAGGUUGAUAAAUUCUAACACCUUAUCUUCUCUUAGCUCUAGGGAAAAGAAUCUAUCUAGAAAAGCAGUGGCAAACUCCUCUCAUUCAACUGGCCCUUCAUCUACGGUCCUCUUUUCUUUCCAUUGUUUGAACCAAGUGUGAGCCACAUCUUGAAACUGGUAUGCAACUAACUCAGCACUCUCACUAGAUGACACCCCCAUGAUAUUCAUAACCUUCUAAACCUGAUCAAGGAUUCCUGAGGGUCCUCAUCUGACUUAGACCUAAUAAAGGAUGGAGGGUUCAUUCGGGUGAAGUCCUGAAUCCUAGUUGCAGCAGAAUUGGCCAUUGGGUUGGCCGGAAUAGAAACUGUACGUUCAUUCUGAGUAGCAACUGAAUGAGAUAGAGUAGUGAAUACAGAUUUAUAUUCUACAUGGGAGACAUGUUCCCCCAAAGUAUUAGGCUGAUCGGGCUAAGGGGCUCGCUGGUCUCCCAUUCCUGUUCCCUGAUUCCUCUUUGGAGGCAUUUUUUAUAACUGGAAGAGAAAGAACAUUAGAAUUUGUAAAUGCAAGAGAAGGAAUAAUUAGACUAAGAGUUUAACUAGAGCUCAUGCUCACUCGCAUGACAUGAACACAGAAAGAAGGGAAAUUAUUCCUAAACAUCUCGUAGCCUCCUAUACAUAAAUGUGGCGCGCAAAAUGCUCAUGCACAAGACUUUACUAGAUGCAGCUUUCAGACAUCCUAGGACACUGCUGAACCUUAGACUCUAAUACCAGGUUUGUAACACCCCAAUUUUAGUGUUGGAUCCCUCAUCAAGCGUUAAGGGGAUGACUUAGUCUUAGGAUUUUUGCAGGAUCUUACACUAACGCAUUACUGCUCUUCCACAAUCACCAUCAUACUAACAUACGGAGGUUAUUGAGGGACCCGAGCAUAGACUUCAUGAAUGAAAGUAACAUUUGUCAAACCACAACUUAAACUUAUUGCACUACUCAAGGAGCGACAUGAGGUGAAGAUACGAUAGAAUUAACUCGAAGUGCUUCACAUAUCAAGUGUCCAAAUCAUAGCUAAAGAGUUAUUUGGCAUAAACACAACACUACAUGAUUUCUUUGGACAGACAACAUUGAGAAACAUAAGCACUUACAUCAUGAGUCGUAUAACAAAAGUCCAGAAUUCAUAAAGUCAAUGAUUAAGACAGGGAUUGAUACUUGAAGCUAUUGUUUAUAAUUUUCAAAGCUAAGAUAGUCAUGAGCUUGCAUGCCCCUUAUCACUUUGGGAUAGACCCAACAUAAAAUGGAUUGGUAACACAUAAGAAGCAUAGUUUCGUAGAACCAAGUAUUAUGUGAGACAUGGACUUUUAAUGGAUUAUGAAAAAUAUAACAUAGAUCUUGGAUACUUAGAAUAUUGGAGCACUGAGGGACAUUAUUGCUUCUAGUUUAGAGAUCGGGACAUAACAUUAGCUACAUAGAGAGCUUAAACCUUUGACAUAGGCAAGACUUGAACACAUAAGACAUUUGUAGAUGUCCAUUCAAAUCGAAGUAAGAGAAGCUUGCUUGAAUAAGAAUUGAUUUAUCAUGAUUCUUACUUGAAACUUGACACCACAAGAAAAAAUUCGGGAACUACUUUAAUCCAUCACCUCCCCCUUAGACCAAAGUCACACCCCUAGGCUUGCAGACAUGACCUCACAUAAAAAUCUGUAUCCAUAACUCUCAAUGCAAAUAAGACAUCACCAUAAACUUAAACUCUAAACUCUCCUUGAUGAAUAUACUCUGAAGGCCUUGCUUUGCAACAAAUGCUACUCUCAACUUCUGCUAACCUCUAUAGACAUCACUCUAUAACUCCCACUCUCCUGAUCGUACGCAUCCACACUCCUUAUCAUAAAGGGGUAUCAAUAUACACAUGAAUACAAAUUUCCCUUAAUAAAUAUAUAAAGAUACUAAAUUCUUUCUAGAACCUCCCCCCCCCUUUCCAGGGAAACUAAAUUGUAAUUUCCUCCAACCCACAAGGUCAUUAAGUUAUGAAUACCAUCCUCAUAGCCAUAGACACCCCCUCUUCUAAACACUUAACACUCCAUCUUCAAUUCCUUAGAAUGCUAGCUUUACACCUCGAAUCACACAACUUACAACUUAACAAAAUUUGUGAAACUAUAAAAAAGGCACAUAUUGCCUACCUAUAUUUUCUCAAUUCCGCUAUAACGAACGCCAAUCAACAACUUCUUAGUCUUCCCUAGACCUCUCCAGACUAAAAAUUUCAAGAACACAGACUAGAUACACCAAACACUUAUACACAUAAAAAUUUAUCUAACAACCUGCUCAACUUAUUCGUUUAUACUCACGUUCUUAUCCACUUAACGACUCAACAACAAUUCUUCGUUCUAACACUAACCCCAUGCAUAUAAAUAUAUCAAUAUUGUCCACUCCUUUUUCCACCAGUUUCCAACCUAGGCUAUUGCACACCUCCUAUCAAGCCUACAAGUUUGUUCCUUUAAAAUACACAUCAUUAGUCUUAAGCUACUAUUCUUAUCACCACACUUCACUUCUAAAGUUAAGUCUAUUUUUUAAUAACGCCAAUCUUAUGAAGCAUUACAUAUACUAUACUAGCCAAUCGAAUAGAAAUAUCAAUCUAAGUUUCAUAUUUCAUUUACUAUGGCCCAUAAGUUCAUCCUCUCCACGACAUUAUUUCUACUUCAAAAUCUUAUACAUACCUCCUCCCAUGUAGUACUAAUUUACAACUACUAGAGAAAAGACAAUUAAGGGACUAAAGUCACAUAAUAGGGAUAGUCUAUCUUAAUUUUAUAUUAUAAUCCAUUAUGAUCUUAUCUACUUAAUCCACUCCCUUACAUCAUAUUUACUUACCCACGCAUACAUCACCACUACCUUCAAAAUUUUAUGUACAACAAUGAAUUUCUACCCAUGACUUAUUGACUAAUCUACCCAUUUACAUUCACAGCCUAUGAAUAAUUUCUACAACCACCAUAACUAUCCAUUCUGAGAUCCUCCGUUAUUCUAAAUAAAUAAUAACAAUAUCCCGACUCUUCCUUCAUAGACUACCAUACAAUCUACAACCAUUGCUACCACAUUAGUCUAUCACUAAAAAUGGCAAACCAUUCCUCAAUCAACAGUUAUACAAUUAAAAAUCUUUAUUUACACAAAAGUCACCCUCACUCUGGAUUCUAACCUUGUGACUCCAUAUUACCAACUUCUUGCAUGAUACUUUUAAAUAUACUACUACCCGAGUGGAAAUACAGUUCCAACAUUUUUCUACACAUCAUUACCCUUAUACAUGACAUCUUCAAUAAGAAUUUUAUAAAAGGAGACUAAAUACACUUUGUACCUUGAGAUGAAAAUCAUGAUUUCAUCAAGAUAAAGGUAUACACUCGAAUAAAUACACCUUGAAACACUAAUGGACUCCUCUUAAGUCCUUGUGCUAUCUCAUAACUUUUAGGGAUAACUCUAUCAGAGAGAACCAUCUCGCUGCUAGACUUUUACACUUAUAUUGCCUCAAUAGUGAGGCAUUUCCCAUGAAAUUAUAACGAGGAAAGAAUUUGUAUAACUUUCUUAAGGACGACAUUAUAUCAUAAACUAAAUGAUAAAAGAAUAAGAAAUAACUCCUAAAUACCCGGUAGCCUCCAGAUUAUAAGUGUGGUGAGAAAUACACCAAUAAGCAAAACUCUACUAGACACGACUUUGCAGACUCCCUGGGACCAUGAAUCAUGCUCUGAUACCAAGUUUUUCAUGACCCGAGCCAAGGCACUGGCCAUGAAGGAGAGCCCAAAACGUGAAGGACCGAGAGUCGUUCUCUAAUUGGAAAUUAUAUACACAAUUCAUAUACUAUAAAGAAAAUGCAAAAAAAACAUAACAAGACGGAAACAUGGUCAUUUUUUUGCUUCAACUGAACAAUACAAAAAUGGGUUCAUAAAACAUUCAAAAACACCUAACAUUAGUCUAUGAAAUCUCUAAUAACUCAAAAUCACUACAAUCUGAAUACUGGGACAAGGCCCCCAGCCGGACAUAAAUCAAAAUAAUAAUAUUAAUGUCAAAUCAACGAUGCCUUCCAAAAAUAAGGGAGGAUCACCAACUGCAAACUUUGGACAACCCAAUCUACUGCUUAGCUGGACCCGGGACUAUGUCUCAGAUUUUGAAAUAUAAGGGGUCAAUAUAGAUGUACUAGUAUGCAGAGUAAUCCAAAAUAAUACAUUUGUAUAUUUAAUAUAAAUAAGAGCAAUUCAUAAAACCUUUUACAUAUAAUAUACAAAAACACAUGGGCAUACUUUAAAGAUAUUGAAACACUUUUUUUAAACCAUGACUCACUUAUUAUCUUAGUUCUGAGUUAGGUGGUACACCCUACAUAUCUGAAAGUACCCUACGGGCUAUAUGGGAUCCACCCUUAACUUGGCGGCCAAGCCCUAAACCCAUGUUUGCCGCAAGGGUUAGAAUAUUUGAAUCUGAUAUGCCAUAGGUCACUGGGACAACAUAUAUCCCUCUUUGGGGAAAUAAUAAACCCGUAUCAAAAAAACAUGGUUUCAGGCAAUGAAUCAUAUGACUCGUGCCUACUUCGGGUAACCAUCUAAUUAUCUUAGAGCCCAUUUUUAAUCUUUCCUGAACAUGCAUCUUUCAGAGUUCAAAUUUUGAAAAUCUGAGAUGAUAUAUGUAUUCUGUUUUGAGUUUAUCAUAGCCUUAUCUGAUUUUGUAUCGUAAUACCAUGACUUGCAACUCGUAUGUCUGAGCUAUAUAAUAAUAUACAUUAGUUCCUUCAAUCCAAUCAAUUCAAUUGACCACCAAAAACAUUUAACAAUGCAAGAGAGUUCUUAUUUUCAAAACAUAUUUCAAACUAUAUAGGGAUUCUCUCUUUUCAAAAUUUCAACAAACAUGUGGUGGUCAAGUACUUUGUAAUAAACCACGCAAUUUCGUUGAAUCACCACUUUUAUUUAUAUUAACAAGAACUACCCUCUCUUUAGUUCAUAUCCAAAAUCAAGGCUUACAUAAUAGUAAAGACAUUUGAAUCGUGCUUCUCAAUAUGCAAUUGAAUAAUUCAUAACAUAUGAAACAAGAGGCUUUACAACAAGAGAGAGAUCUUAAUUGUUCAUUCUCUCAAUUCAACAUAAGAACUCAAAAAUGCAUACGUACUUAUAUACGAGUAAAAAUCUAUUUAAGGGGAAGUCCUCAAGACCAAAACUUUAUCAUAAAAAGGAUUUCACAAUGCACAAUCGCAAAUGUAAAUUCAAAGCAUAUUGCAAAUUCAUAAUUUCUAAAUAUUUAAAAAUUAUCAAAACAAUUUCACCAUGCCCAUGUUAGGAAAAUCCCAAGUACCUUAAAUUACUUAGUUUGAAGUGUAGAACCUGUAUCUUGAUUUGUUCCUUGGAAAUCUUGGACUUAAGGAUUGGUUUUUCUUGAUUUCUUAUUCUUGGAGGAAACCCUAGUUUGAUCUUAUAUUUAAGAGUGAAGAGAGAAUUUUGAUGUUGUAUAACUAAUAAUGAUUGAUUAAUAACAUUUAGAGUGUAAUUAAAUUUGUGUGAAUGGUUUUUGGAGUGAGAAAAGACAAAAAUACCCCUAACAAAACAAAAAAUGUCGGAGAACUUCAUCAGUUGAUGACCAAGGUUGAUGGGCCUUCACCUAGGUCAUCACUUUUGAGAUGGAUUUUGCCACUUUCCCCCCUAGGCUGACAACUAGAGCUGAUAGGCCAUCACCAAGUUGAUAGGUCGUCAGCAACGUCAUCACAUUUUGUCAAACAGACACUUCAAAGAAAAAGAGCAUAACUUUCUACUCCAAAAUCAGAUUAAGGUGAAACUAGUUGAGUUGGAAAAAAGACUAAAAAACCUUUCAUUUGGUAUAUAAUAGGGCAUAAAAGUCUCUAUAUACAAGAAGUUAUGGUCGAUGGAAUUUGACCCAAGUUUAGACAUUCAACUAAACUUAAUCGAUAGAAUAGUUUUUAACUCGUCUCUGAGUUUAGGGAUUUUUGUGACCUCAAUUCCUAUUCAAAGGUAUUCACACACUAUAGGAUUGAUCAUCACACAUAUAUUAACAAAGAGUCAUUGGGUUCGGGUCUAUACGCAUUGAAAGGAUGGUUCAAACUUUAGCCCGAAAGUGGCGGGGUUAUAAUAAUUUUUUUCAUUAUGUAUUAUUCAAAUAAGAUGGCAUAUGGAGGGUUACUAUGUCACUCCAUCAAUCAUACUUAGAAGCAGAUGUUCUAGCAAGAUAAUAAGAAACCUGAUUCAUUGAUUUCUUAAAAAAAAAUAAAAAAAUGGUAACUCCUAAAGAAGAGUUUUAUAAUCAAAGACUACUGAAUCAAAAUAAAAUCAAUUCACUAAAAAAAAUCCAGAACUAGUUUCACGAAUAGAUUAUUUGUUUCCACAAUCAACUUUUGUACUAAAUUUCUCCUUUAACCAAAUUGUCACACCCCUUUUUAACCAAAAAAGGAUUAUAUUUAAGUUUUGAAAGAGUUUUUAUUAAUAAGCAACAAAAUGUAGAUUUUUUUCAAAAAAGGACAUUUUAUAUUUAAAACUCAGAGUCGCCACUUAACGUAAAUCGGUUGUGCCAAGUCACCCUUGGAUAUCUUUUUUCAAAAUGGUUUUUACUCUUUAAUCUGGUUUGAGAACAAAGAUUUCAGCUAAGGAAUUCUGUUGAUCGAGGGAAAGGAGUUAGGUCCCUCUCGAUCUCGUGGUUCGACCACAGUCCCUUGGUAGAGCAUAUCAGCUAAUUUGACAUUAUGAAUGUAUAAACCACACAAAAACACACAAAAAUAAUCAAUCAAACAAACAAAGAAAACAAAUUAAAACAUAUAAUCUUCAUUCUAACUAUUACAACCCGAAAUAGAAAAAUGCGAAAAUGUAAACCUAUGCUAACCUACACUAGUCCUAGACUAUGUUCCAACGCUUUACCUGAUGCCUCGGGCGUUCAUCAUGAAUGUCCUCCGAGCACAAAAUACUUCGGGGCAUUUAUUAGUAGAUAAGUAAAAUAUACCUUUGGGGCAUUCCCCGUUGAAUGAAUACAUCUGAAUCAAAUAUGGUAAAUUAGAAAACAUUCAACACACACAUUCAAACAUUCAAUAAAACAUUUGUAAUACCCCACAUAUUUCUAAGCUUGGAAGUGAAUAAGCAUUCCUACGUAUGAAAUCUCCUAUCUUGUGAUUCAUACUUGAGUACAUGACUUAGAAUGAAUAUCCUAGUGAUAGGAUAGCUUAUGAUGCAUUAAUCAUGUUCAUAUGUGUCACUUAAGGUAAUACAAACUAAGAGUUUUUGAAUCCAUCAAGUUUUAGUGUUUGAUUUUACAAGGGUCAUCUUUCAACGAGUAUAACUCGAUGUUAAUGUGGAAUUUUGGCUGAUUUAGACCCACCAAAUUUUAGAGAAUUAAUUAGCUUUCCAACGAUUCCAAUUUUGCCUUAAUCCAAUACCGGAGCGAAAAGUUAUGCCCAUUUUUGUGAGAGAUAGUAAGGAUAGGCGAUUGGUUAGGCGCCGCCCAACCUAGCUUAGGCAAUCACUUGGGCACCACCUAAGUCAGUUUCAGGUGCCAAAAACACUCCGUUAUGAGUUAUUUUAAGGGUAAUUAAGUCUUUUAACACUCCUUACAUGUCCCUAAACUUAACCCUACGAAAUAUAUAGCUUCUAAACAUAUUACAACCCUAUUAUCAUCUCAAAGUUCAUCAUCCAAGAGCACUAAAAGAGAAAAACAACUAGGGUUGCAUAAAUAAGCUUGAAGAUCCGAUUUCAAGAAAAUUCCUCCGUCAAUCAUCAAGAAUCUUCCUUCUAAGGUAUGCGUGAGUUGAUUUAUGGAUCCCUUUUAUCCAUAAAGCUCAAAAACCCUCUUUUUUCAUUAUAAAGUAUGAUUUUUAUAUUGUUGGGUGUUGAUGAUCAUGUUGUUGAUGUUGGGUGAUUUCCAAGAUGGAAUCUUUAUAUGUUUCUUUGAAUUUCAUGAUAUCAUAUGAGUUGGAAACAUGUAAAUUUGGUUGUUCAUGAUGUAUAAUUUGAUGAUUUCACCUAUUCUUAAGAUGUGCAUGUAAGGUGUUUGAUAAAAUGCCUAAGAAACUAGAAAUUAUGCAAUAUAGAUAAAUUGUGACUAAGUGAAGGAUUCAUGAUAUGCCCUUACGUUCCAAUGACUUGUAUGUUGAUAAUGUGCCUUGUAAAUGUUGUUGGAAUACUCAUGAUCUAUUCUUAUGACAUUAUGCUAUUUUUACUUGCAAAUCCUACUUAUGAACAAAAUGUAUGAUAACCAUGCAAUCCACAUGAACAUCCAUGCUAUUGGUAUGUGUUGCCAAUAUGAUUAUGCAAUGAACAUAAUAUUUAGAUUGUGCAAGUACGUCUAUGUGUAUGAAAUCCUUUCCAUGCAAUACAUUGUUGAUAACCAUGCUUAGUAUGAGAUCCCUACUUAUGAUAUUAUAAAUUAUGGACUUUACCCUUAUGAUCAAGUCAGUCAUGUGUGUUAGUUUUCUUCCAUCGAGUCUUAGGGGUACUUGUACCCAAAAACUAUAGUUGUGUGCCUAGAUCCAUUUCAUGUUUCACGAUAUCCGAACUCAAGCUAUGAUUUUAUAGACUUCAGUUAGUCAUGUGACUUAGGAAAACCUCAUGAUCUUAGUCAGUUGUCAAAUAUCAGUAACAUUCUGCCAGUCAAUAGAAUUCAGUAAGAUUAAGUCAUGCACAGUCAGUUAUUCAUGUCCAAACCCUCUAGAUAGGAGUAGAGGUUAGCACGAGUGAACCCAAGGAUGGAAACUCACCCGCCAGUUCAGAGUGUAAUUCUUAGUAGUCAUCCUUGUGUUCUAGAACUACGUAGCUAGCAUAGGUUGAGACAUCUUAAUCUGUCAGAUUAGGGUUGAUGAGGUGGCUUAACCCAUCAAUUUAGAGUUCCCACCAUUCUCAUUGAGUACCCGCCAGAUAAGGGUCACUCACAGGCUGUCCUUACCCAUGACACGGUAUUGACACCCCUCCAGUCGGGGCAGAAAUUGGACCCCAGCUUAGCCAUAAAGGAAUACAUGGGGCAUGUCGAUUAAACACUACUUCCCAUAGUUUCAGUAUCAAUCUUAGUAAAAUAACUCAGGGAGUUCUUCAGAUUUCAGUAUAUACAAGACUGUCAGAUACAGUCGUCCAUGUUAGCAGUUUCAGUAUCAGUCAUGACAGUUAUUAGUAAACUAUGUAUUAGCUUACAGGUCAUGCUAUCACGUAUUCACGGUCCCAGUUUGUAUAUAUGUAUGUUUGUACUCCCACGUUUAUAUUAGUCAGUCAGUGUUGUCCAUACAUGAAACCCUAUAUGUUCAACCUACCUUUCUCGUAUACUCAGUACUCUAGUUUUACUGAUGCAUUUGUGCUAUGGUGCUUUCUUUUCAUGUUACACCAUAGGUUCCGAGACACGAGCUCCAACCCAGCAGUAGCGGUAGCAUUCCAGUCGCAGAGACACAGUGAGUCCUCAUUGAUUCGAGGGCAAUAUGAUUUGAUUAAUUUAUUUAUUUCUUCAGUUUAGUUUUACGAAGUUAGUUGGAGACAUGUUCCUUCAACUCCUUAUUCAGAUAGUUUAAAGGCUUUAGAUUUAUGUUCAGA
rnacentral:lncRNA from 1 species